GGUGGGGACGAUGUCAAAUCAUCAUGCCCCUUACGUCCUGGGCUACACACGUGCUACAAUGGGCGGUACAACGAGUUGCCAGACCGCGAGGUUGAGCGAAUCUCCAAAGCCGUCCUCAGUUCGGAUUGUAGGCUGCAACUCGCCUGCAUGAAGCUGGAAUUGCUAGUAAACGUGGAUCAGCAUGCCGCGUUGAAUACGUACCCGGGCCUUGUACACACCGCCCGUCACACCAUGGAAGUCGGUAACACCCGAAGUCCGUGAGCUAACCCUCGGGAAGCAGCGGCCGAAGGUGGGAUCGAUGACUGGGGUGAAGUCGUAACAAGGUAGCCGUAGCGGAAGCUGUGGCUGGAUCACCUCCUUU
rnacentral:rRNA from 1 species